rnacentral:rRNA from 1 species
UACGGAGGGUGCAAGCGUUAUCCGGAUUCACUGGGUUUAAAGGGUGCGUAGGUGGGUUAUUAAGUCAGUGGUGAAAUCUCCGGGCUCAACUCGGAAACUGCCAUUGAUACUAAUAGUCUUGAAUAUCGUGGAGGUAAGCGGAAUAUGUCAUGUAGCGGUGAAAUGCUUAGAUAUGACAUAGAACACCAAUUGCGAAGGCAGCUUACUACCCGAAUAUUGACACUGAGGCACGAAAAGCGUGGGGGAUCAAAACAGG